rnacentral:tRNA from 1 species
GGUCCCGUAGUGUAGCGGUUAACAUGCCUGCCUGUCACGCAGGAGAUCGCCGGUUCGAUUCCUAUCGGGAACGCCA